CUACGUGCCAGCAGCCGCGGUAAUACGGAAGGUCCAGGCGUUAUCCGGAUUUAUUGGGUUUAAAGGGAGCGUAGGCGGAUUAUUAAGUCAGUGGUGAAAGACGGUGGCUCAACCAUCGUUAGCCAUUGAAACUGGUAGUCUUGAGUGCAGACAGGGAUGCUGGAACUCGUGGUGUAGCGGUGAAAUGCUUAGAUAUCACGAUGAACUCCGAUCGCGAAGGCAGGUGUCCGGGCUGCAACUGACGCUGAGGCUCGAAAGUGUGGGUAUCAAACAGGAUUAGAUACCCUGGUAGUCCGCACGGUAAACGAUGGAUGCCCGCCGUUGGCGCCCUGCGCCUGCGGCCAAGCGAAAGCAUUAAGCAUCCCACCUGGGGAGUACGCCGGCAACGGUGAAACUCAAAGGAAUUGACGGGGGCCCGCACAAGCGGAGGAACAUGUGGUUUAAUUCGAUGAUGCGCGAGGAACCUUACCCGGGCUUGAAUUGCAGUCGCUGCCCACAGAGACGUGGGCUUCCUUCGG
rnacentral:rRNA from 1 species